rnacentral:rRNA from 1 species
UACGUAGGGGGCAAGCGUUGUCCGGAUUUAUUGGGCGUAAAGAGCGUGUAGGCGGCCAGGUAGGUCCGUUGUGAAAACUCGAGGCUCAACCUCGAGACGUCGAUGGAAACCAUCUGGCUAGAGUCCGGAAGAGGAGAGUGGAAUUCCUGGUGUAGCGGUGAAAUGCGCAGAUAUCAGGAAGAACACCCGUGGCGAAGGCGGCUCUCUGGUACGUGACUGACGCUGAGACGCGAAAGCGUGGGGAGCAAACAGG